UACGGGGGGGGCAAGCGUUGUUCGGAAUUACUGGGCGUAAAGGGCGCGUAGGCGGCCUGCUAAGUCACACGUGAAAUCCCUCGGCUCAACCGGGGAACUGCGUGUGAUACUGGCGGGCUUGAAUUCGGGAGAGGGAUGUGGAAUUCCAGGUGUAGCGGUGAAAUGCGUAGAUAUCUGGAGGAACACCGGUGGCGAAGGCGGCAUCCUGGACCAAGAUUGACGCUGAGGCGCGAAAGCAUGGGGAGCGAACAGG
rnacentral:rRNA from 1 species